UACAGAGGGUGCAAGCGUUGUUCGGAAUCAUUGGGCGUAAAGCGCUCGUAGGCGGCUUGUUAAGUCGGAUGUGAAAGCCCCAGGCUCAACCUGGGAAGUGCAUUCGAAACUGGCGAGCUUGAAUGUCGGAGAGGGCAGUGGAAUUCCGAGUGUAGAGGUGAAAUUCGUAGAUAUUCGGAGGAACACCAGUGGCGAAGGCGACUGCCAGGACGAACAUUGACGCUGAGGAGCGAAAGCGUGGGGAGCAAACAGG
rnacentral:rRNA from 1 species